rnacentral:tRNA from 2 species
UCCUCGUUAGUAUAGUGGUUAGUAUCUCCGCCUGUCACGCGGAAGACCGGGGUUCGAUUCCCCGACGGGGAG